rnacentral:lncRNA from 1 species
UCGGGGCAUAAUAGAGCAAUAUAAUAAGGUUUUACUCUUUGUUCGAUAGAAUGAGAAAAAGUACUCCUUACAAAGUUAUACUGUUAAGGCGCUACUGAAUAGUCUAAUGUUGUUCCGGUUUUGAUUCUUGUGAAAGUUGACAUCGAUUUGUUCCAAAUUUACACUCUCGGGGCAUAAUAGACCAAUAUAAUUAGGUUUACUCCUUGUUCGAUGGAAUGAGAAAAAGUACUCGUUGCAAAGUUAUACUGUUAGGGCGCAACUGAGUAGUCUAAUGUUGUUCCGAUUUUUGUUCUUCUGAACGUUGACAUCGAUUUGUUUCAANGUUAAUUAAGAGAAACCAUCUCUCUUUCUCUCUAGUAUCUCCGUUUCUCUCUCUCUCUCUUUUCUUCGAACGAGAGGUUCGGAGAGAGCCAAACCCGUGGUUUCUCUUUUCUCACGUUCAAGUGUAUAUAUAUAUAUAUAUAUAUCUCUCUCUCUCUCUCUCUCUCUCUCUCUCUCUCGUCCCGACGACACGAGAUCCCUCGUGCCUCCGGAGGCACGAGGACUCGGCAAAAGCUACUACCUCAAAGGCUUAGUUGCUAGCCGAGGCAAUUUGAACUAGAUCGCAUAAACUUCAAAGAUCUUUUAUUAAAAACACUAAAAAGCUAUAGUAAAUGGAUCGUUAGCUUUCCUAAGUUUUAGUUAUUAAAAAUUGCCAACUUUUAUUUUUAGGAUAUUUUUCACCACUAUAUCGUGAUUUUAAAAGCUAGUCUUUAUAACUAGAACAAUAUCUAUCAUAUUUCUGAGGAGAAAAUUGGAAUUGCUUGGUGGUGUAGCAAGCUUGGUGGAGAAGAAGGCUUGGAGUUGAAGCUUCAUCUUCAUCUUCUCCUUCCUUGGUCUAAGAGGAAACUUGAGAGGUUUUCUGACGCGCUGGCGAAGUCGGUUCGGCGAUACGACGAGGUUACGCGAAGAUAUUGAAGAAAAGGCCGAUUUCGGUACAGAUUGCCGCAGCUCGUGGCGUAAGCUCCCAAAAAUCACGAAACCGGAAUCGUAGCAUCGUGACAUCACCUAAAGUCUUGGAGCUAAAAAAGUCGGGGGCACGAAGGGUCGCGUGGAGCUCUCGGUGGGUUUGACCUCGCUACAAAUGAGAAAAUCUCAUUUAUGUGGAUUUAAGUAUCGUAAAAUGGAAAAUCACGCAUUUUAAUGAAAAAUGCAUUAUUUGUGAAUUUUAAAAUGCUUGAAAUGCUUAUGUUAUAUACAAUGCAUUUUCGGACCUCUAUGUAGUAGAGAGCUUGCAUGUAAGACUUAUGCAUGGGUUUAGCAUUCUAAUUGGGACUUGGAAUCAUGCUUCAUAUAGUAGACAUGACAAAUGUGUAAUAUGCCUUGGACAUAAAUCUCAUUUGGACAUAAGAGAAUACAUUAGGCCAUAAAGUGGUUUUGGACUUGAAUAACUUGUGAGUUAGGGAGCUAAUGUCGUAAUGCGACAUCGGGCUUGAGCUAUGAAUGAGCCUAGCAAAGUAAUGCCAUAGAGAGGCAUUAGGCUUGAAUGAUAUGUGAAUUGUAUAUGCAUGUUAAUAGUAUGAGAAUUAUGCUAAGUUGGUAGUUGCAUUGGAAAGUGUAUGCAUGUAGCAUUAUGAGAACUAUGCUAUGUUGAUAGUUGUAUACGGAUGCAUUGAAACCAUAUGCUAGUGGAUAGAUGCAUGUUAAUAUUUAUAUGCAUUGUGGAAUACAUGCUAGGUACAUAUUAGCAAUGUGAGAUCAUGCUAGAGAGCAUGCGAAUUAACCUAUUAUUGAUAGGGUAAGCUAAUGUCAUAAAGAGGCAUUGGGCUUGAAAUUUGUAAGGUACAGAACUUCUUAAAUUCUGAAGUUACGGUAGGAUGUAAUAGGUUUUACUCUUUGUUCGAUAGAAUGAGAAAAAGUACACGUUGCAAAGUUAUACUGUUAUGGCGCAACUGAGUAGUCUAAUGUUGUUCCGGUUUUGAUUCUUGUGAACGUUGAAAAUUCGUUCCAAAUUUACACUCUCGGGGCAUAAUAGAACUAUAUAAUUAGGUUUUACUCUUUGUUCGAUAGAAUGAGAAAAAGUACUCGUUUCAAAGUUAUACUGUUAGGGCGCAACAGAGUAGUCUAAUGUUGUUCUGGUUUUCGUUCUUGUGAACGUUGACAUCGAUUCGUUCCAAAUUUACACUCUAGGGGCAUAAUAGAACUAUAUAAUUAGGUUUUACCCUUUGUUCAAUAGAAUGAGAAAAAGUACUCGUUGCAAAGUUAUACUGUUUGGGCGCAACUGAGUAGUCUAAUUUUGUUCCUGUUUUUGUUUUUGUGAACGUUGACAUCGAUUCGUUCCAAAUUUACACUCUCGGGGCAUAAUAGAACAAUAUAAUUAGGUUUUACUCUUUGUUCGAUAGAAUGAGAAAAAGUACUUGUUGCAAAGUUAUACUGUUAAGGCGCAACUGAGUAGUCUAAUGUUGUUCCGAUUUUGGUUCUUGUGAAUGUUGACAUUGAUUCGUUCAAAAUUUACACUCUCGAGGUAUAAUAAAAUAAUAUAAUUAGGUUUUACUCUUUAUUCGAUAGAAUGAGAAAAAGUACUCGUCGCAAAGUUAUACUGUUAGGGGGCAACUGAGUAGUCUACUGUUGUUCCGAUUUUGGUUCUUGUGAACGUUGACAUCGAUUCGUUCCAAAUUUACACUCUCGAGGUAUAAUAGACCAAUAUAAUUAGGUUUUCUCUUUGUUCGAUAGAAUGAGAAAAAGUACUCGUUGCAAAGUUAUAUUGUUAGGGCGCAACUGAGUAGUCUAAUAUUGUUCCGAUUUUGGGGACCGUCCUCUGGCAAGGACCGGUUCCGAACGUUGAAUAUCCCCUUUGCCAGUUUGUGCAGCUUUACGUGGACGGCUCAAAGGGGUCGCUCGCCCGACAAAGGUGACCACCGGUUGGUCCCUCACUGCGAAAAAUACCCAGGGAGGCUGUUUCAAGAAGUGAAAAGUGAGGGUUUUAUGUUGCAUCAAGUGGGUUAUGAGAAGAGGCUAGGCUUGUCCGCCUCUCAUCGCAUCACUUACACUUCAGUGGAUGCCCUUCUUCACGUCGUGAUGUCGUAGUCCUCCAUACUCACGACCUCUGAUGUCUACUCAUCUUCUGGCUCUCUGAAAGGUUAUAACAAAAAAGCAUCAUAUCGGAGGAAAAGAGGAGAAGUAGCAGAAGGCUAGUAGAAUGAUAGAAGGAGACGAGAUAGAGACUGAAAAAGAGCGAGAAAGAGAGGUAUUGACAACUAAGACAGGAAUGAGAAGCAUAUCACGCGAGUUACACUAUUCAUCAUCUCCUCUUGCCCAAAGCUUGGAGCUUGGUAAUGAUGUAAACCUCAACCUUUGAUGUGGUUUCAAUAGGCAGAGGUAGAAGUUUUAUAAUACGAAUAAGCGCGGUUCAAGACUGAACCUUAUUGAGCUGCAUAACUGCCAGGUCGAGAUAUGUUUCGACUCGAAAUCGAAGCUCGCAGCCGGCAGAGUAGUCGUAUCUCAUCAAUGGCCGCAUGAUGCGUGCAUUGUGCUUUUCGAUAGUCUUUCGAGAAUAGGUUGGCCAGAGCAUACUUGAACUGGGCUAUUUAAUUCAAAUUAAUUUCGGCACACCUAAAUUCUAAGGUCCCGAAGUCGUAGGCACAGACGGUGUGUCGCAUUACCGUCGAGUAGCAGUCGAAGUUAUCGCCAAGAGAGACCUUCGGAGCUUCGUGUCCAUGCCUAGAAGGCUAACGGCGUCGAGACGGUUCUAAGGCACGACACAUCGCAAUCGAAGAGCUUCCACAGAAGUCCACCCACCGAGGGGUGGAGCAUCACAGUAAAACCCACCAAAAGUCCUCACCAGGGCGAGAGUGGCGCUACACGAGCUAACCAGAAGGGUGCGGGCGAUCAACAUGGUCGGACUUCACUUUCAUGCUUUAGAUGUCUGAUGUCAUCAUCGAAAGACUUAACUAGUACGAGUUUAUUACAUAUUGUGAUAUAGUCAAUUACUUGACGGAAUUGUCUUAACCAUGGAUUAUCGCUGCAUAUCCUUGCAUGCUAAGGAUGGUAUAGCUCUGCGUUUGUUCAUCAUCGUCAAGACUGAUUUAGUAAAACAUGCAGAGGUGAGCGAUCGUUUGAGAACAGACACCCAAUGAAAAGUCGCCCUAGUCAACUAACGAUAAGAAUUAUUGUUUCAGUAGAUGAUAUAUGAACCUAGUGAUACCUUGGAACACAGUUGUAUUCAAGAACUCUGUCAAGAGAACGAGUGGCCAUCUAGUUAACCUAAACAUGAACGAGUGCAUUAAGUAGCCGGUAGGCAGCGCAAAACCUAAGAAAACUGCCUGCAGCUUGUCGAGAGACUACAUCAGUAUCAGAUAGUGAUGGAUCAGCGCCACCAAUCAAGUUGCUACUACACCGAGGCUAACCUCUCGGUGCCACGAAAUUCCGCCGAGUAUAGAUAUGCCCCCUGUUGAUCAGGGCGAUAUUACGAGAUUAUCAUGACAGAGAUUGAAUCGAGCUCACUUAGCUGCUGUCUUACACCUGUAGGACAGUAAGAAUCCUCGCACCUUCCUUACGAUGCUUUAAGUCGUUACACAACUCCCGGAGUGCUUCUUCGGCGAAGAUAUCUCGCAAGAUACUGGCGGGCCAGUGUAUGCCCUGGAGCCAGUGUAGUGUCCGCUCUCGGAAGAUAGGAUCCGGUCUCCGGGUAAGUGAUAUAGCUAGCCCACUCAUCCCCUAUGCAAGCAUCUUAGACGACGUAGAGGUACACGUAUCAGAUGUCACAAUGAAAACCCGACGGCGAGCGAAACUUGCGUUCGCCGAGAGAUACGAAACUAGAUAUUCCACAGAAUAUAGCCCGAAGAUCCUGUUCAAUCAUGUCCAUGAUGCUGACUCACACUUAGCAUUGUGUUUGAUGGAAGCAUGUAGUCCCGAAAGGCAUCACCGAGACAGCCUAGCAUUCUUACUAUGAGUUGUGCGAAGACAUUCGUAGUGGCAUCCUGAAUUAUGAGGCAUUGUAGUACCUGUGGCGAAUCUAGUUUCUAUGGACCAUCAAUUCACUCUCAGCCCGGAUCUUAAGCUGAAUGGUACCGCUUUCAGUUAAUAUAAUCUAUCUAUCUGCAUAUCUAUCUGUAGCGCGGGGCUAAGACGCUAGUGGGAGGAUCCGAUGCAAUGAGAUCUUCGGAGCAGAUACACGCCAGAACCCACUGGGAAACUAUUCGUAGUUCUCACUCGCACAGAGUACUAUCGCUGCACUGAGGCUGGCUUCCAAAGAAAGGAGACCGUGUUCAAUCUGGGCAGGGGAUACCCCUGUUUCUUACACUGUGACUUUGUUGAGGCGGCUCGAAUCGCCGGAAGGCGUAAGCGCCCUACGGGUUGACAGUGGUAAUCCAGACGAAGAGGGUUUUUCACUUAUUUAAAUAUCAAAUUUUUUCUUGACUUAGCGCCUUAUUUAGAAGACAGGGCAGCACCUCUAGUCGUCUAGGGAGAUCACACCUGGCUCUAUGACCUCCUUUAUCACCCUACCUCAGCUGGCGCCUUCCCUUUACUUCAGCUCCCAGGCAAAGCAAUAUAAGAUUAGUCAUAGCCAUCGAGGAUCGAUGGUGGUUGCCAGACACAGUGAUCUCAUACUGCGGUCAGCACGAGGUCAUCCUGUUAUCUGGUAGUCUAGAGAGUUGUAGGUACGAAUUCACAGACUACAUGGUCAUAUCCAAUGAGUGGUCGCAUUCUUAAUCUUAUGUCUAAUAUACACGGCCGGGCAUUCAACAUUAUUGCCCUAGUAAAGAGAUAUCGCAGCGAAAUAGAGGCUCUAACAUGCUCGGUUAAUAAAUAUAUUAUAAGAAGUUAGCUCGGCAAAAUAGGAUCACCCAUCCUCCGCUCGCAUCGAUAGUAAUGUUGCCUAGUGAAAAACAGUCCAUUAGGUUCGAAUUUUAUUACUACUCAGAUCAGGCUAGAAAAACCCGAUCAUCGUUGUACCAAGAAGUAAAGCGGCGGUGAGUACCAUACGAGCAUAAGUGUAUGCUCAGCUGACAGGCGAGUAAGCAUCAUCCUGCUAGAGGUCGUCUCGAUCUCGAAGUGUACACAUCGAGUGUUUUGCGAGGAAAGACCAAGCUCACAUGCAAAUGAAUGCGAAAUAAAGAGUGGCGAUGCUCUUCACGUACUCGAAAAUGAGCAAUUCUAGCAUCAGAUGAAAUGUUGAAGGUAUGGACAAUACCUCGCAAGACAGUCGCCCACACCAGUGCCCUGCGUGCUGAGUCAGGGCGAAGACCUCUCUGCGCAUCUCCAGAUGCGCUGCCGUGCCCCUCAGUUUGCGCCUCCGUCCCGCGUAAUUGUGGUUGUUAAUUGUUAUGUACCCAGUUCAACGUUGUUCCUUGGAACCUUGUUGCUCACUAAUCUAUGGUUGAGCCUUGGCGACAGAGGAGGCUGUCCGUUCGGCGUCGGUCCGCCCUUCGAGUAGGGGGACCCCGGAGCCACGAAGCAGCUGCAGCUGGGGCUCCGCGGCUUCUGCGGGCGUGCAGGCAUGGGAGGAGACAGGGACUCCCCCUGAGACAUCCGCCACCUCCUAGGACACUGGCUUGCAGGGGAGCCACCUCGCACUGGCCACGAACGGAAACAGUGUCCUCCUCUGCGACCAUUCGCCAUCAACCGCUGAGCUUUGCCGGCAGAUGCACACAACGGUGGAUCGCCCCUCUGCUGAUUGCUCGAGGGCGCACUCUUUGCUCCCUGCUAGAGUGCGCGGAUGCUUUGGCGACCGGUUACUAUUGGAAAGGAGCCGCCGCACGUCUUAGAAUGGGAACGCUUUCUGUUCCCCAUCGCCUCCGAGGCCCUUUGCAGCUCGGACUCUCGUAGACUCGCUCUGGAUGACGAGGCUAUCGUCGCAAGCACUCCGUCAAAACACGUCAUCGUGCCAUGAGAAGCCCAGCAGCAUCCUGAUGUGGGUCUCGAAGCCCUCGCGAAGACUCUCGCCUUGUGCGCUCGUCAAAGUAGGCUCGAAUAGAGAGCAAGGGAUCAGCCUCCACCAUGGCGGAAGACGAAGUCCUGCUCGUAGCUUCAGCUACGGUACGUUCCCACUGCUGAAGAUGUUCUAAAGCUCCGCGCUCCGGCCCAGCCUCCAAAUUUUUGAGUUGUCCCGAAAGAAUUGCUUGGAUUGGAGAUCUCCGGAACUCCCCCCAGGGUUGGGAAAGGACGGCCCAGCUGUGAGCGAGGUAGAUGUCGGCAGCCACCAAAUAGAGCUGCGUCCGCCGGUCCGAGAAAGUGUGCGGCCAAGGACGCGGUACCUGGCUCAUCCGAUGAGUAUAAGUCGCUCUAAAGCUAGGUACUCUCACAAUGUCGGUCAGGUUCGAUGAGCAGGUCGCGUCGAUAGAAACUCCUAGUUCUCUUCCUUCUUACGCUCCACGCGUAUUCUUGCGGGUCGAAUUCCCAUGAACUCAUCCAGCUUCGCACAUGCAUAGCGGGCGCCUCUGCUGCGGGGUAAUUUGCAUCCUCAGCUGGAACCUCUGGUGGUCGUCCGUCGUCGUCGAGCUCAGCAAGCAGAUAAAGAUGGAACGGAGCCGAGGGCCGAGCUACCUAGUGCAGGCGCACCUGAGGAGGUGGUGGACUUCCUACGGAGACUCUAAGAGCAGGCAUGACCCAUUCCAGAACCGGCGGCGUCGGGGAAGGUAGUCGCUUAUAUGGGAACACAGCUCUAGGCGGUGUGCGGCUCGUAAGGACUAGCUGGCAUGAGUGCUGCGUCGGAAACCGCCGCCAUGUGGAAAGGAGUCGUCAUCCUGAAUCCCGUCCCGUCAUCACUGGAGGCUUUAGACCUCGAGUGGUGAGGCUCGAGCUGCUUCGAUAGCAGUGAGUAUCCGCCCUGCUGGAUGUGGAAUGUUUUUUUUUACUUUUCUGGUCGAUCUGCUCACCCUACUCCUGCCCUGCCCCACCUGCCUCUGCCGUUGCUCGGAGGCCUGCUCUUUUCCUAGGAGGCUAAUUGACUAAGAGCCCUCAUGGGCGACGGCGUCCAGAAAGUUUGAUGGAACUAGCUCCCACGAACUCACGGAAGAAGGUGGGUCCGCUACUCCACGAGCCAAUCUGUAACACAAAGCACGCGUCAGCACGAAUAAUCGAGACUCGACCAACUCCGCCUACGGACUUGAGGCCCACAGAAACUUGCACUCACGUGCGCUAUGAGUAUUUCGCCCGUAGUCCUGCCUAUGGGUCAACCUAACCAAUGGUUCAUUUCAUUGAUUUUUCGAAAACCAACCUGUGAAUGGUAGUCUCCCCCUGUAUUUUGAGCACGGUCGUCGUAGCACAAGUACAGAGGAGAUCUGUCCCGUCGUGAAGUGGAUUCCCUGUAAUUGUGCGAUCUGACAUACUCUGGGGUCAGGUAUUUGAGAAAAACAAAAACAAAUUAUUAGUCAUUUCGCGUCAUUUCCAAACGCGCAACAAGGACCUCAGGGGUGACAGAUUAAAGUGGUAUCAGAGCCGGUUCAUCAGCUGGACAUGUGUGGCGAGUCUCGCUAUGAGCCACGGGUCGGAUGACGGGCUAACGAGCGACGUCUUACAUCGCGCUGGUGAUCUUGGGCUGUGUGUGUUGUGGACUCGACAGACGUCAGGACUGCAGCUUAAACGGGGAGUCCUGGUGACACCGCCAUAUCAACAUCGAUGAAAUGGAAGGUGUUGUUUAUUCAGGAGUUGAUAAGCACGACUUAGACACUAGCUAAAUAAUAACUGGCUUAGAGCAUUUGGGGUCUGUGUUGGUAUCAUGGGCCAACGAGUUACUCUUAAUUAAGCUUAGUGAAGCUUGGGCCUGGUCGUUACAUUGGUAAUCAGUCAAGUCGAAUUCUUUCAGCUCAUCGAAGCUACUGCUAGACACCGUCGAUUUGUUCAUGAAGUUAUUGUCGUUUCGAACUGCGAAUGAUGACCUGUCGUUCGGAUUCAGUAAUACCGAUUUUGCUGGGAGUCCACCGGGUUAUACCCAAAGCUCUCCGAGCUUUGCCUCAAUGUAAAGCUUGUGAAGCGGUGUGCGAUUUUGGAGAAGGCUGCAACGAAUCGCAAGAUAAUACCUGCACUGCGCCAAACCCUAGAAAAACUCCGGACUUGGUCACCGAAAGUUUUGGUUCAAGACCAGCUACACCACGCGAGGCUAUCUUCUUCGGGUCCGACCGAAUCCACGCCGGAGUAGAAUAUGCCGUCUCUCAAGAAUGACCACGUAGCGACGUCACGGAGCAGAAAUCCACUUCUUGAGCUUAGCGUUACAACUGUGCCGCCGCUGAAGUAUCUGGCAAUUAGCUCUGUCGCGAGAUGAUCCUCAGGUGCUCCCUACAAUACUCCGCGAGUAGAUCAGGAGUCAUCAUGAAACCGACGACAGACACUGAUCCAGAUAAGCUCGGAAGCCCUGUCAUUCAUGUCGCAUAGAAGGCUGCGCGGAGGAUUGGUGAGCCCGAAAGGCACACCGUGAACUCGUAGUGGCCGUAACGAGUCCGGAAAGGCGGUCUUUCGGCACAUCCUCAGCCCGGAUCUUUAAGCUGAUGUAGCCUCCCGACCGCAAGAUCAUCCUUGGAGUUAGCACCGACGAUCCUUUGACAAGGCUGGUCAUGGUACGAAGCCUGAACUUUCCAGUACGCGCUUUCUCAUCUUUAGAGUGACGGUCAGGUCCAGAGCGACGUGCAUCCAGACUUCUUGUACGACAUGCUCUGGCGCAGAUCGCGUCUGGAUUACGGUGGAUCGGAUGGUCUCGGUAUUACCGUUGGUGGAGUUUCGCGACUAUAAUAAACAGCUUUCAGGGUCGACAUCGGGAUGGCACCAUACCGAGGCGUCUGUUAUGGGCGUUCGAUGUCGUUCUCAGCUAUCUGCUUGGCACGCAUGUCGAAGACCGCCGGUUAGUUAGGACUACUAGAUUUAGUAGGAGACGCCACAUGAGGCAAGAUCCGCAUUGGGCGAGAGAGCGGCUUCAGACCUGCAACAGAUAGAAUCCAAGGGGCGACUAGCGCGGCCCAGGCGGAGGCCGGAACCUAGAGUUUCAGUCGUGAGUCAUGUGCUGCUCAAGUGUCGCCUUCCAGGAUCAAUACGGUUUGUUUGCGGAACAAGCUUAUCGCGCUGGUUUCGGUGGGACCCGUUCUGAGAUCCUACGAGCUGCGUUGGUCCGGUGGGCUUACCAGAUUGCUCUCAUACCGCAGUCUCGCCCGAGUGCAGCAACGUUUUUUCACGUGUCCCAUGCUUCGGAUACCACAUCCCGAUCCGUCCCCACAUCAUUCAGUCGACACGCAUUCAGCUAUGCGGGAGGAUCUCGAGCUAUGCAGUGAGGCUCCCGUUGCACGAUCCUGGUCACGUGAGGUGAACGCAGUUGCCGGAAUAGGAGCAUAUCCGUAUUCAAGGUCCAGUGGAGGAGAAGCGCGACGAGAGGGCUGCGCCUGAGGCUACUGGGAGCUUGAAUGCGUCAUGGCGGUCGAUCAUUAUCCACAGUUAUUUUGCGAGGGACGUCCUUGUNNNNNNNNNNNNNNNNNNNNNNNNNACUAAUUAUAUAGUUCUAUUAUGCCGCCGGCGCAAUUGUUAUAUAUUUGGAACGAUCUUAAAUUUACAAGAACCAAAUCGGAACAACAAUUAGACUACUAAGUUGCGCACCUAACAUAUUAACUUUUGCAACGAGCACUUAUUUCUCAUUCUACAAACAAAGAGUAAAACCAUUAUAUUGCUUAUUAUGCCUCGAGACAGUGUAAAUUUGGAACGAAUCAGAAACUUGUCAACGUUCACAAGACAACAAACAUGGACGAAAAUUAGCACUACUCAGUUUGCGCGCAACAGUAUAACUUUUGAACGAGUAUUUUUCUUCAUUGAUCAAUAGAACAAAGAGUUAAAACCUAAGUAUAUUAUUUUUUAUACCUCCAUUCGUGCUAAAUCGUAGAACGAGGUCAAUGUCAACGUUCACAAGACCAAAAUCGGAACACAUAGACUACUCAGUUGGCACCAACAGAUAUGAACUUAUGCACACGAAUACUUUUUUCUAAUUCUAUCAACAAAGAAGUAAACCCCAUAUUAUAUUGUAUCUUAUGCCCCAGAGUGUAAAUUUGGAACGUAACCAGAUGGCAAGGUUCACGUAAGAACAAAAAACAGGAACAAAAUUAGAUACUAGUUGCGGCCAAAAAGUCUAACUUUGCAACGAGUAUUUUUUCUCAUUUCUAUUAUCAGAAAGAGGUAAAACCUAAUUAUAUAGUUCUAAUUUGCCUGGAGUGUAAACUUGGAACGAAUCAGAUUCGUCAACGUGAUUAAGAAGAAAAACCAGAAAACACAUUACACUACUCUGGUUUGCAGCACUAACAGUAUAACUGCGACGUAGUACUUUUGUCUCUUUCUAUCGAACAAAAAGUGAAACCUAAUUAUCAUUCUAUUAUGCCCGGGCGAGUGUAAAUUGUGGAAGAUCUUCAACGUUCACAAAAGAACCAAAUCGGAACAACAUGAGCACUACUCAUUGCGACCUAACGUUAUAACUUUGCAACGAGUACUUUUCUGAUUUCUAUCAACAAAGAGAUAAAACCUUUAAUUAUAUCGAUAUCUAUAGUCUCGAGAGUGUAAAUUGGACGAUAUCAGAGUCAAGUUCAGAAAGAAUCAAAGAUUCGGCGAAGAACAUUAGAUACUCAGUUUUGGCCCUAACAGUUAUACUUAAUGCAACGAUCUUUUUCUACGUUCUAUCAAACAAAGAGUAAAAUACUAAUUAUAUUAUUUAUUAUACGCUCGAGAGUGUGAAUUUGGACGAAGGUCAUAUCAACGUUCACAAGAACCAGCCGGGAGACCGGUCCUUGUCCGAGAGACCGGUUCCCGAGAGCAAUACUUUCGGGACUUAGCCAAAUUUCGGCUUCUCUCGCUGGGCCAACGUUCGGGAACCGGUCCCUGCCUGCUAGGGACAGGUCUCAUCAGAGACCCCCGCAGCCCAGCCUGAUGGGACCGGUCCCUCCCUGCCAGGGACCGGUCCCCGAGAGCAUUUCUUCUCCAGUGCAGCUUUUGCACGGGUGCUCUCGCGGACACCUCCUCAAUGCACCUUAUGCAUUGUGAUCACCUUCGGACUUUCCGAAGCUUGCACGCACGACAACCAGUCGAUCUUUGACGAAGUCUAAUCCUCGAGUUUCGAGAAUUCACUUCCCUUACACUCUCCCCACUUAAAAGAGUUUCGUCCUCGAAACGAACUCAACAAUAUUAAAUUCAUCCAGAAUACUCAUACCUCGGUGGCUCACUCAAACAAGUGAGGAUGAUUCGCUCUCAUCUCCUCCUCGAGCUCCCAGGUGGCUUCGCGGUCAGCAUGAUUGCUCCACUCUCAGGGCAUAAUAGAAUAAUAUAAUUAGGUUUUACUCUUUGUUCGAUAGAAUGAGAAAAAGUACUCGUUGCAAAGUUAUACUGUUUGGGCGCAACAGAGUAGUCUAUUGUUGUUCCGGUUUUCGUUAUUGUGAACGUCGACAUCGAUUCGUUCCAAAUUUACACUCUCGGAGUAUAAUAGAACUAUAUAAUUUGGUUUUACUCUUUAUUCAAUAGAAUGAGAAAAAGUACUCGUUGCAAAGUUAUACUGUUUGGGCGCAACUCAGUGGUCUAAUUUUGUUCCGGUUUUUGUUCUUGUGAACGUUGACAUCGAUUCGUUCCAAAUUUAUACUCUCGGGGCAUAAUAGCACAAUAUAAUUAGGUUUUACUCUUUGUUCGAUAGAAUGAGAAAAAGUACUCGUUGCAAAGUUAUACUGUUAGGGUGCUACUGAAUAGUUGAAUGUUGUUCCAAUUUUGAUUCAUGUGAACGUUGACAUCGAUUCGUUCCAAAUUUACACUCUCGGGGCAUAAUAAAAUAAUAUAAUUAGGGUUUACUCUUUGCCCGAUAGAAUGAGAAAAAGUACUCGUUGCAAAGUUAUACUGUUAGUGUGCAACUGAGUAGUCUAAUAUUGUUCCGGUUUUUGUUCUUCAGAUCGUUGACAACGAUUCGUUCCAAAUUUACACUCUCAGGGCAUAAUAGAACAAUAUAAUUAGGUUUUACUCUUUGUUCGAUAGAAUGAGAAAAAGUACUCGUUGCAAAGUUAAACUGUUU